CGAUGGACUCGUGUAUAACAGUAUUGCCUAGUAACUGGUUGAUGAAGUUGCGCCAUAUCGCUCAAUUGUAUUGCGAUGUAUUGCGCAAUAUUGCUGCUCGUUGCUGCUUGUUGCCGAAAAUUGCUUGAUGUAGUC